AUGUGCGAGCGGCUGGUCCUAUCGCAUCUGUUCUUUGUUUUCGCAUUUGUUCUGGGUGCUGGCUGUCCCAGCGCCACCUCCUGCCGUGCGUGCGUCAGCCCCGCUGAGGUCACCCGCUGCCCUGCCUUGGCUACGCGGGCACAGAUGACUCAGCGGCGGGCGAACAGCCCUGCGUGGUUACGGCUUCGGGGUCCUUCUCGCCUUGGAGGUGGGGUGACUUGGAACCGCAGUCUCUUCUGUUUCAGGGUUAGGCUGACAUCCCUGCCGGCAGAAAUAGCAGAGACCAAGCAUGGAGGCCCAGGACCAAGUUUCUUGUUCCAUUUGCCUAACAAGGCAGCCUGCUAGGAGGAAGUAAGGAAGUACCAGGUGGGUGGAGCACGUGCUGGAGGACCGCGGUACCAAGCACAGAGGUGACCAGGAGUCCAAGGAGCAUCCCAAGUGGCCGCAGGCAGAGGGGACUGACGGGCUGCACAGCACUCAUGGGAGGGCUUCUGGGUGGGGGCGGCCUGAAUUAAACCUAAGUCCUCACCUCUUUGAACUGUUUUUUUUUUUUCACCCAUGAAACGACCAGAAUAUGAAAUAAGACGCAGCAAGGUCACAAUAAAAACUGAACAAAGCCAGCACAGGGAAAAAAAUUCCUAUCAUUUCUCUAGCCUGAGUCUCUCUCUCCGACGGGAGAACACGCCCACUCCUGGGCGACCUGCAGUCGCUGCCCCUGGCCUGCAGGCUCGGGGAAGGCAGGCGCUGCAGCCCGGCUCCCAGAGGGGUGGGGCCGCCAACUUCCGCAGCAGUCGGGACGGCCGGGACCUGACCUUGGGUGAGGCCUCACACUGCCCGGCCGCAAAGCAGGACCAUCCCAGCGCGCACACACAGCGCCUCGCUCCCUCCCUC
rnacentral:lncRNA from 1 species